AUUGAACGCUGGCGGCAGGCCUAACACAUGCAAGUCGAACGAGUGGCGGACGGGUGAGUAAUGUCUGGGAAACUGCCUGCUGGAGGGGGAUAACUACUGGAAACGGUAGCUACUACCGCAUACCAUCGGAUGUGCCCAGAUGUGAUUAGCUAGUAGGUGGGGUAACGGCUCACCUAGGCGACGAUCCCUGGCUGGUCUGAGAGGAUGACCAGUCACACGGGAACUGAGACACUGUCCAGACUCCGACGGGAGGCAGCAGUGGGGAAUAUUGCACAAUGGGCGCAAGCCUGAUGCAGCCAUGCCGCGUGUAUGAAGAAGGCCUUCGGGGUGUAAAGUACUUUCAUCGGGGAGGCGUUACCCGCAGAAGAAGCACCGGCUAACUCCGUGCCAGCAGCCGCGGUAAUAC
rnacentral:rRNA from 1 species